UCAAGGAGUUCCUGAGAUUAGAACCACAUGCGGAUGAACCAGACCCAAGAGUAGCAGUUUUGAAAGGGCUGGAGAAAUAUAGGCUGCCAAUAAUUGCCAUUCUCAAAAAAAGAAAAGCAGUUCCUCUGUAUAUGGAAACCUUACUUGAACUCUAUGACCAUGAUGAAAGUCAAUAUGCUUGCUUAGUUAUAUUGGGGUUACUUCACCUGCUUGGAGAAAGGAAAGACUCCAUUUUUACUAAGGUACCAGAAGAAGAACUAAGAACAGGGCAGUCUAGUGUGUCCAUUCAACAUGUUGGGGACAUACAUGUCAGACAGAUUUUGUGUAUUAUUUGAUGGUGCACCUGUAGCUGAACCAACAUGUAUUUCUAUGGCUAUAGUCUCAUUGGUAGCAGGGCUUUAUGUGUUUAAUAUUGAACACCCAAAAAAUUGUGAACAUUUCCUCCAUUUCACAACAUCCCAUCUCUUAGGUAUCAAGUAUGACAAAGGUAACACUUCAAAAACAAGAUCUCUACUUGUAAAACUCAAUGAAGUAAAGACAGAAUUGAGCUACAAAAAUGCAUAAAUCUG